GACGAACGCUGGCGGCGUGCUUAACACAUGCAAGUCGAACGGAAAGGCCCUGCUUUUGUGGGGUGCUCGAGUGGCGAACGGGUGAGUAACACGUGAGUAACCUGCCCUUGACUUUGGGAUAACUUCAGGAAACUGGGGCUAAUACCGGAUAGGAGCUCCUGCUGCAUGGUGGGGGUUGGAAAGUUUCGGCGGUUGGGGAUGGACUCGCGGCUUAUCAGCUUGUUGGUGGGGUAGUGGCUUACCAAGGCUUUGACGGGUAGCCGGCCUGGGAGGGUGACCGGCCACAUUGGGACUGAGAUACGGCCCAGACUCCUACGGGAGGCAGCAGUGGGGAAUAUUGCACAAUGGGCGGAAGCGUGAUGCAGCAACGCCGCGUGCGGGAUGACGGCCUUCGGGUUGUAAACCGCUUUCGCCUGUGACGAAGCGUGAGUGACGGUAAUGGGUAAAGAAGCACCGGCUAACUACGUG
rnacentral:rRNA from 1 species